rnacentral:misc_RNA from 1 species
UCUCUCUCUCUCUCUCUCUCAAGAGGAAAAUAAAAACCACCAUCCCGCGCCGCACCGGAGGAUGAUGUUGAGCAAAGCCAAGAUGAACGGGGGGCCACUUCAAGGUUGAACGCCUUCUCCUUUCUGUGGUUAGAUUCGAAUUUCUCGAAGUCAGGUUUCGAUCAUGAGAGUUUCGAGCAGAGGAGUAAAAGAAAAGGUUAAGAAAGAAUCAAGUGGAUGAAGAAGAAGAAGUAGAGAGACAGAGUAAGCGGAUAAAUG